rnacentral:rRNA from 1 species
UACGGGGGGGGGCAAGCGUUGUUCGGAAUUACUGGGCGUAAAGGGCUCGUAGGCGGCCAACUAAGUCAGACGUGAAAUCCCUCGGCUUAACCGGGGAACUGCGUCUGAUACUGGAUGGCUUGAGUUCGGGAGAGGGAUGCGGAAUUCCAGGUGUAACGGUGGAAUGCGUAGAUAUCUGGAGGAACACCGGUGGCGAAGGCGGCAUCCUGGACCGACACUGACGCUGAGGAGCGAAAGCCAGGGGAGCAAACGGG